AGCCCCCAAGGCCUGCAGCCUCCCCAGCCCUCAGGAGCCGCUGGGGCCCCAUGGAAGGUGCUGGAAGCCAGAUGGGCCUGGCCCUGCCAGGCUGUGAGGCCGUGCCGUGUGCACAGCCCUCACGGGGACGAGGACGGAGGGGAAGGCGCUGUUCUCCAUGAGGUGCUCUUCAGGACACGGGCGUGAAGGGAGUCUCGCUGAGCUGCUCAUCCCACAGAAAUCUGGAUUUUGCAGCUCAUAUUCCAUGAAGAGCUUUGAUUAAAAGAAAAAGAUACAACAUACACCACAAACUGUUUCCCCAUGCUUCAGUGGUUACCUUCUUGACUGCAAACUAUUCUCAAGAACUACGUGAGAACUGACGGGCCGUAACACUGACAUCUCCACCCCUGCCCAGUCUGGGAGCACAGAGCUAACCUGCAGAGCCACAAAACCAAGGCCUUCUUCCGUGGUGCUGUCAACUCUUGCUGGUAGAUGCCACACAGCUUCAACAAAAUGCAAAAUCACACACUUGAAAGUGGAAGUUAUUACCUCAUACUGGUGUAAUUCAACAGGAAGCCAGAAAACUUCCUUCAAGGUGGAAGAUUUGGCAUGUGAACUCCAGACACAGACUGUACACUCAACUUGCUGCU